rnacentral:lncRNA from 1 species
AUGCUAUUAAAUCGACUAGGACCUGUCAUCGAACCUAAGCUUAUUGCACAACAAUCAGGUUUCAGACCAGGGAAAAACUGUACAGGUCAAAUUCUUCAUCUGACUGAGCAUAUCGAGAAAGGCUAUGAGAAAGGCUGCAUUACAGGAACAGUUUUUGUGGACCUUACGGCAGCCUAUGACAUGGUGCAACAUAGAAAAAUGCUGCAUAAAGUCUACCAUAUCACCCAGGACUUUGACUUUACUAAAACUGUCCAGACCCUCCUAGAAAACCGCAGCUUCUAUGUGGAGUUUCAGGGCUGGAAAAGCAGAUGGAGGAGGCAAAAGAAUGGUUUACCCCAAGGCAGAGUUCUUACACCGACCUUAUUUAACAUCUUCACGAACGAUCAGCCACUACCACCACUCACAAAGAGCUUUAUAUAUGCUGAUGACCUUGGCCUUACAACACAAGCGAAAUAUUUUGAAACAGUUGAAAACCAAUUCACUAAUGCCUUGAAAGAUCUCUCCAGCUACUACAAAGAGAACCACCUGAAGCCUAACCCUGCCAAGACACAAAUGUGUGCUUUCCACCUACGUAACCGUGAAGCCAGCAAGAAACUGAAAGUUACUUGGGAAGGCCAAGAACUCGAAUGCUGUUUCUAUCCUAAAUAUCUUGGUGUCACCUUAGAUCAAACACUAACAUAUAGGAAACACUGCAUGAACACCAAGCACAAAGUAGCUGCACGCAACAACAUCCUGCGGAAACUGACUGGCAGCACAUGGGGUGCAGACCCACAAUUAAUUACACCUGUUGAUAUACUCUACAAGUUAGCUGGCAUUGCCCCUCCUGACAUGCGAUGGGAAGUUGCUGCUAACUGCGAGAGAAAUAAGGUCGAACAUUGUGAAAGCCAUCCACUGCAUGACUAUCAGCCUCCUCCCACCAGACUCAAAUCAAGGGAAAGCUUCAUGAGAACCACCACUCCUCUUGUUGUUCCUCCAGCAGCAGCAAGGGUGUCCCUCUGGGCAGCUAAACCUGGC